ACGGCUGGCCAUACCACCCUGAACAUGCCCGAUAUCUCCUCUGAUAUCUAAAGCUAAGCAGGGUUGGGCCUGGUUAGUACUUGGAUGGGAAACUCUUUAUCAUUAUGUAAUGUCUUCUUUG
ensembl:rRNA 5S_rRNA 5S ribosomal RNA